AGUCAGAAAUCAAAGUAAAAUGCAAUGUGGAAAGAGAAUGAGUGGUUACAGAGCGCUCUCUGCUAGGCUCUUCCACAUGUUACCUCAUUCUUCUCUCUAUAACCCACUCAAGAGGUAGACAUUUACUCCUUUUCACAGAUGAAAAAUGGAGGCUCAGAGAGGCCAUACAACUUAACAUAGGUCACACAGCUAGUAAAUGCUACCUCUUCCAGACCUGUCUUCUCAGCUUGACUCUUCUACUUUACUUGGUGAUACACCAAUCUAUCUGGCAAUGUGGACACUUAGCAACCACACAAUUGAAAUGAUGCUGAUAACAACCUUCUCAAUUAGGACUGAAGAAGUGUGUCUAACAUUCUGGAAAACACACCACCCAACCCCCCAAGGUGCCUGAGUUUAUGUAAAAAGAGAGAUUGUCUUCGCUGUCAAGGUUUCCUGCCUCUCACUUCACUCCCACAGCUAUGUGUGUGAAUAUUCAGAAGCAAGGUUGGAGCUGAUUUGGAGUGAUGACUCUAAAGAAGAGAUAAGUUGCGUGGUGAAAACAAACAAAAGGAGAAAUUAUUGAAGAAUCCUUUCCUCAAAAAACUCCAAGUAGGACUUGGGCUUGGUGAUCUGUUUAUAAAGCCUCUUCAGAUCUUCAUCUGGGAGCAUUUUAUGGAGCAGGUGGAUAUCCUACUGCUUGGAGCUGUGAGCUCGCUUUGGAGACCAUCUUCCCCUUGGAAUAUGGCAGAUGACUGAGAAAUGAGGUGAACCCUGAUAGUGUGGACCACAGAUAGCUUAACUCUUUGAAGAUAUGCCUAUUUUGACUCCACCUAUAAGAGAGCACUACUCUGCCUGCUAAGACAGAAUGGAACUCUGCUGAGAUGGAACAUGACAGCCACUCAUAACACCACACAUCCUUUUCCAAGCAGCUUGUUAUACAAAUGAAACAUUGUUCUCACAUGGCAAAUUUACAAAGGCAGAAGAUACGAUGAAUUUGGAUAGUGUGAUGGAUCAUAAAGAGACAGAGUCUUCUUCCCUUCCCCUUGAACUGAGUUGAUCCUGACAUAUUUUGGCAGUAGAAUAUGGUAGAAGUGAUGUUGUGUAACGACACUCCUUGGAACCCUGUGAGAAGCCCAAGUAAAAUGAAGAAGCCACGUGAAAGAGAACCCAGGUACUCCAGUCAACAGCCCCAGCUGAGCUUCCAGCAACAUGUGAGUUAGCCAUCUUGGACUCUAGUCUUGUCUGGCUUCUGGAGGAAUGUGGCUCUAGCUGACAGCACUGGAGCAGAAGAACUGUCUAGCUGAGUCUAGUUAACUCACAGCAUCUUUAGGGAUAAAAUAAUGAUUAUGGUUGUUCUAUACCACUAAGUUUUGGAGUGGUUUGUUAUGUACCAAAACCCAUACAGACAUUCAUACUCUCUCCAAGUUUGCUUUGAGUCCAAUAGCACUUACUUGUAAGAUGUCUGGCUGGGGGAGAUUUAUGUUUUUGAAAUAGUUUUUCUUAAAUGUAAUUGUUUUGAGUGGAUAAAAAUCAAAGUUGGGGCAAAAGCACCAGACAUACUUAAAUCACUGGAAAAGGGAUGAAGCUAAGAGUUGUGAAGAUAAUGAUUGGUGUUGAGGAAGAGAUGUCUUGUGUGGGGGAGGGCCACAUCGAUGUCAUCUGGUCACUGUAGCAUGCCAGUACCCCCUAGGGGAAGCUCUUGGAUUUCAAAACUCUGCCCAGACCUUCUGAGCUGCACAAGUAAGCCUUAAUUCUUUUAUUAUUUUCAUAUUGAAUUAGAAGCUCUUUUACAUAAAUAUAAUUUUCUUCAGCAUCUGUUGAUAUUUUUGGACCAUGAAAUUUAGCAGGAAAUUAAAAGCAUAAAGACUUGCAUAGCAUAAUGCUGAGUUAUGCAAGUUUGAAAUAAAACUUUAUCUAAUUCUGUCA